rnacentral:rRNA from 1 species
AGUGAACGCUGGCGGUAGGCCUAACACAUGCAAGUCGAACGGCAGCACAGUAAGAGCUUGCUCUUACGGGUGGCGAGUGGCGGACGGGUGAGGAAUACAUCGGAAUCUACUUUUUCGUGGGUGAUAACGUAGGGAAACUUACGCUAAUACCGCAUACGACCUACGGGUGAAAGCAGGGGAUCUUCGGACCUUUCGCGAUUGAAUGAGCCGAUGUCGGAUUAGCUAGUUGGCGGGGUAAAGGCCCACCAAGGCGACGAUCCGUAGCUGGUCUGAGAGGAUGAUCAGCCACACUGGAACUGAGAAACGGUCCAGACUCCUACGGGAGGCAGCAGUGGGGAAUAUUGGACAAUGGGCGAAAGCCUGAUCCAGCCAUACCGCGUGGGUGAAGAAGGCCUUCGGGUUGUAAAGCCCUUUUGUUGGGAAAGAAAAGCAGCAGGUUAAUACCCCGCUGUUCUGACGGUACCCAAAGAAUAAGCACCGGCUAACUUCGUG